UGGUUUGAGAGGACGACCAGCCACACUGGGACUGAGACACGGCCCAGACUCCUACGGGAGGCACCCGUGGGGAAUUUUGGACAAUGGGGGAAACCCUGAUCCAGACAUCCCGCGUGUGCGAUGAAGGCCUUCGGGUUGUAAAGCACUUUUGGCAGGAAAGAAACGUCGUGGGUUAAUACCCCGCGAAACUGACGGUACCUGCAGAAUAAGCACCGGCUAACUACGUGCCAGCAGCCGCGGUAAUACGUAGGGUGCAGCGUUAUCGGAAUUACUGGGCGUAAAGCGUGCGCAGGCGGUUCGGAAAGAAAGAUGUGAAAUCCCAGAGCUUAACUUUGGAACUGCAUUUUUACUACCGAGCUAGAGUGUGUCA
rnacentral:rRNA from 1 species